UUUUUCCAUAGCCCAACGUAGACUUGUUCUUUGCCUUCAGAUUCCUCUGCUUCUGGUGGUUUUAAGGCCGUGUUUGGUUGCAACAACAAUAUUAAGAUAGAGAUGAUGGUGGAGUUAUUUCUGCUUGGUUGUACGGGAAUCGUGGUGUUCCUCCACGGAGCCCAUUUCUUCUUUCACGCUCUCUCCCAACACAUGGCCUUUCGAUCCAUCAGUUUCUUGGGAUUUGUUGGAUGGUAGAAGAAAAUGGGAAUGGAGAAUAUUGAAGGCAUAUGAUAAAUAAUUCUUCACGCCAAGUUUUGAUGAAGUAUAUAAUAAUGGAGAAUGAUAAUACCUGACCAAAGAGGGAGUUCUUCUGAGAUGGGAGAAUCAACUAAUUAGCUUGCACCUGCCGUGACGCUUUCUUUGUAUAUAUUUCUUAUAGCUUUGGUGCAAAAGGGGGGGAAUUAAUAAAGCUGGAAAUAAAUAAAUGGGAGGCUUUCGUUGAAAUUACUCACUAGCUAGAGCCAAACAAUUUUGUAAAAUAUUAUAAUUAAAAUCCUUCAAUAUUUAUUUCAAA